CACGCGGUUCCGUGUAUUAACCAAACCCGAAUUCAGGUUAAACGGUGCGAAGUUCUCUGCGAUGCAAGGUGCUAAGCCGCGGCUCGUUCAGCACGUUAGAUUCGCGGACAAUGUUGCCUCGGUAGCACGAGAAUUCGACACUUUUAUCGACUGUCGCCGCCGCAUUAUCUCCAGGAACGUGCUUUCGCUGUGCUGUAAAGUCGCCGAUUAUAUCCUCAACCGGGAUCCACCGUCGACGCGUUAUUUUCCCAGAGUGACACGAAUCAUAUAAUUCUUGACAUGCAUGGUAAGAAAUCGACAACAAGGAAACGGAUGUCAAGGUCGCUGUUCUCCUUCCUAUCUCCUAUCGUGACAUAUGGACCUAGAAACUCAGUCACUCAAGAAGCUCA